rnacentral:misc_RNA from 1 species
ACCCCACACAGCCCAAAGCAUCCAUGGUUUACUCAAGUUGAAGAUAAUUUCAAUUCAAAACCAGUGAGGCAGAGAAUAGUAAUUUGCACACAAGCUUCAUGAUUGCAUUAAUUAACAUUCAAGAACAGUGAAUCCAUAUAUAAACCCAACUGAAUAUUAUUUAAUACGAGAACAGAGGAAGUUCCUAUAGCAUUCUAAGGGCACUUGGUUUUGUUGCCAUGAGUAGUCAUGUCAGUGUAACAUUUCCCACAGACUUCUCUGUUUCCAGAGGUGCCUGGAGGCACGCACUUGCACCUAAAGCAACAGGUGCCACAUGCUCUUGUGCAUACAUUAGGCCUCGAAUGCAAACUGCACCUCACCUUGCACAACCCUCCACAAUCCAAGAAUGGCAAGAGCCUUCUGUUAGCUCCUUUCACCAGCUGGGUGCUUUGCUCUUCAAUCUCGACGUCAGAUGAAACCUGUGCUAUGCAGAAAAGAAAGAUUGCCACCAAAAGAAGGGAGCGUAAAGCCAUUUGGAAGCAGCUACAGGACCACCAGUCUGAAGGCGUUUGAAAUGUGAUCUAAAUGGGGUUGUUAAGAAAGUGCUAGGGGUACUGAGUCCACCGAGUCUGAGCGUAGCACUUUAUUUAUAGGCGGUUCUUGGUGGCUUAUUCUCAAUUACCAACUCGCCCACAGGCUUUGUUUUUAUUCUGGUUGCCAUUGUAUCUGUACCUUUUGUUAAGUUAUAUAAUAUUUUUUGGCCAAGGGAACAGAGUCUUAAAAUUUAAUGUUUAAUUUUCCCUCCACAUCUCUAAUUUAUCACAUCAACAGGUUGAAAAUUCGAUUUUAUUUGCUAAAUACAAGGGUACAGAUAACUUCCACGUUCCUGUUAGAGAGUAUAACUAAAAUUUUAACAUAAUAUGUUGUGAAUAAUUUGCUUUAGACCAUUUAAGUGUUAUUAUUAUUUUUUUACGUAGAUAAGCACACAAACAUCUUCAUAACGAAAAUAGAUAUCUGUUAAAAUUAUGACAAUUUUAAUAAAAUUUGUCUCCAUAAAAAUCACUCACAUCCUUUUUAUAAUUAAUGUGGGACUCGAAAUACCGACCAUUUAAGUUAAAAAAAUGUGGGCUGGAGCUUAAAAAUUGGGAAAAUAAAAUUUGAAAACCUGAUUUAAAGAAUUCAACUGUAAAGGUACAGGCGUCUUUAGAAUUCUGCAUGUUCCCCUAAAAUAGUUAUCCUUUAACGGCUUUAACAGCGAGAAAUUGGUGUACAAAACAAAGCUGAUCCUGUAUUCAGUGAAAGCAUAUGCAGGUACGCCAAUGGGAAAAGCCUGAGGACCUCCUGGGUGAAUCGCAUAAGAAGUUGAUUAUAAUAGCAAUAAGGUGUUGAUGGUAUUACAUGAUUUUUUAUAAUACAGUUUCGGAAAAGUAAGAUAUAGCAUUAAAUUAAUGGAACAUUAAUACAAGGCAGACAUGACCAUGCAUACUGUCACCUUAUUAUGCACCUUUCGCACUCUUUCGAGUCUUGACAACAGAAAUAGGCCGAAGAGAAGCGACCUAAAGUGUUAUUUUCAUUAUUGUUAACAUGUAAAAUCUCAUAUUCUUACGGCAAAAUCACAGUUUAAGGAAUGAGGAAAUGGAAAGUGUACGGAGAAAUAGAAAAGGCCAAAACUAGCCAUCUCUUCUCUAUUUCUGGAUUAUCAGGGUCUUGGAUAUAGAAAAGAAAAAAAAAAGUGAUUCGGUAAAUGGCAAAGCAGCACAGCUGUAUCCCACAACCCAGUACUACUAGUAGCAGUAAUAAUAACAAAAAUUUGUCGCCAUUUUCGAAAGCACUGAACACCGUUUCAAGCAUGAAACGAGCUCCUUUUAAUCGUGAAGAGAAGAGGAAGACAAAAACAGGGUGCUGGCCUAGAAUGUUCACCGACAGUGAGCAGAUGACAGCUAAAGCACAGUUGGCUAAAAUGAUAUAAUAAGAGAGAGAGAUGAAGAGAUACGUCACAGUCAAGCCCUCUUUUCGUCGCUACUCACCGGUAAACGAGAAAGAGAUUGGGAUUACAUUCGCAUUUCGCCUUCGUCCACUUGCUUAAUUCAAGCUCACUCCCUUCCAUGCAUACACAGACUACCGCUUAACUUCUUGUUUAAUUGCAAUAAAGCUUCAAAUACGACUCUCCAUUUUUUUCUUGUAGACGGCCAAUACGCCACUUAAAAUUUAUCAGUUUCACUAACAAAUUGUAAUGGCCCUCCUCCUUCCUCCCCUCGGGCAUGACUUUAGAUUAAGCAUCAAACUAGGAAGUCUCAAAUUUGCAUCUAUUUCCAAGAGACGAGCCAGCAAUCCAAGUAAUUACAUGACUCAGCCACUGCAGAAGAUACCCAAGACUCUGACAUCAGCACGCAUUGAGUAGAAUGCCACCUAACGUUGAAUACCUGACAGGCUCUCUAUUUCAUACCCAUCAUUAAAUAUAUCCACUUGCAACCUGGACAAUGGCAAUUGCCUUCCCUCAAUAUAAUCUUCAAAUUUUCAUUUCACCCCAACAAUUUCUCUUCAUUAGUAAAAAUACUCAUAAUUAAAUUCCGCCUAAGUAGUUUGCGCUUAGUCGGUCCCAAGCCCGGAUAAAGGAAGAGGGUUGCGGUAGGUGACAACCAAUGUAAAAAUUUCGUCACACCCUAUG